rnacentral:rRNA from 2 species
UUAAGCGACUAAGCGUACACGGUGGAUGCCCUGGCAGUCAGAGGCGAUGAAGGGCGUGCUAAUCUGCGAUAAGCGCCGGUAAGGUGAUAUGAACCGUUAUAACCGGCGAUACCCGAAUGGGGAAACCCAGUGUGAUUCGUCACACUAUCAUUAACUGAAUCCAUAGGUUAAUGAGGCGAACCGGGGGAACUGAAACAUCUAAGUACCCCGAGGAAAAGAAAUCAACCGAGAUUCCCCCAGUAGCGGCGAGCGAACGGGGAGGAGCCCAGAGCCUGAAUCAGCAUGUGUGUUAGUGGAAGCGUCUGGAAAGGCGCGCGAUACAGGGUGACAGCCCCGUACACAAAAGCGCAUGUGCUGUGAGCUCGAUGAGUAGGGCGGGACACGUGGUAUCCUGUCUGAAUAUGGGGGGACCAUCCUCCAAGGCUAAAUACUCCUGACUGACCGAUAGUGAACCAGUACCGUGAGGGAAAGGCGAAAAGAACCCCGGCGAGGGGAGUGAAAAAGAACCUGAAACCGUGUACGUACAAGCAGUGGGAGCACCCUUUGGGUGUGACUGCGUACCUUUUGUAUAAUGGGUCAGCGACUUAUAUUCUGUAGCAAGGUUAACCGAAUAGGGGAGCCGGAGGGAAACCGAGUCUUAACCGGGCGUUAAGUUGCAGGGUAUAGACCCGAAACCCGGUGAUCUAGCCAUGGGCAGGUUGAAGGUUGGGUAACACUAACUGGAGGACCGAACCGACUAAUGUUGAAAAAUUAGCGGAUGACCUGUGGCUGGGGGUGAAAGGCCAAUCAAACCGGGAGAUAGCUGGUUCUCCCCGAAAGCUAUUUAGGUAGCGCCUCGUGAAUUCAUCUCCGGGGGUAGAGCACUGUUUCGGCUAGGGGGCCAUCCCGGCUUACCAACCCGAUGCAAACUGCGAAUACCGGAGAAUGUUAUCACGGGAGACACACGGCGGGUGCUAACGUCCGUCGUGAAGAGGGAAACAACCCAGACCGCCAGCUAAGGUCCCAAAGUCAUGGUUAAGUGGGAAACGAUGUGGGAAGGCCCAGACAGCCAGGAUGUUGGCUUAGAAGCAGCCAUCAUUUAAAGAAAGCGUAAUAGCUCACUGGUCGAGUCGGCCUGCGCGGAAGAUGUAACGGGGCUAAACCAUGCACCGAAGCUGCGGCAGCGACACUGUGUGUUGUUGGGUAGGGGAGCGUUCUGUAAGCCUGUGAAGGUGUGUCGUGAGGCAUGCUGGAGGUAUCAGAAGUGCGAAUGCUGACAUAAGUAACGAUAAAGCGGGUGAAAAGCCCGCUCGCCGGAAGACCAAGGGUUCCUGUCCAACGUUAAUCGGGGCAGGGUGAGUCGACCCCUAAGGCGAGGCCGAAAGGCGUAGUCGAUGGGAAACGGGUUAAUAUUCCCGUACUUGGUGUUACUGCGAAGGGGGGACGGAGAAGGCUAUGUUGGCCGGGCGACGGUUGUCCCGGUUUAAGCGUGUAGGUGUGUGUUCCAGGUAAAUCCGGUUCACUUUAACACUGAGGCGUGACGACGAGGCACUACGGUGCUGAAGCAACAAAUGCCCUGCUUCCAGGAAAAGCCUCUAAGCAUCAGGUAACAUCAAAUCGUACCCCAAACCGACACAGGUGGUCAGGUAGAGAAUACCAAGGCGCUUGAGAGAACUCGGGUGAAGGAACUAGGCAAAAUGGUGCCGUAACUUCGGGAGAAGGCACGCUGACACGUAGGUGAAGUGAUUUACUCAUGGAGCUGAAGUCAGUCGAAGAUACCAGCUGGCUGCAACUGUUUAUUAAAAACACAGCACUGUGCAAACACGAAAGUGGACGUAUACGGUGUGACGCCUGCCCGGUGCCGGAAGGUUAAUUGAUGGGGUCAGCGCAAGCGAAGCUCCUGAUCGAAGCCCCGGUAAACGGCGGCCGUAACUAUAACGGUCCUAAGGUAGCGAAAUUCCUUGUCGGGUAAGUUCCGACCUGCACGAAUGGCGUAAUGAUGGCCAGGCUGUCUCCACCCGAGACUCAGUGAAAUUGAACUCGCUGUGAAGAUGCAGUGUACCCGCGGCAAGACGGAAAGACCCCGUGAACCUUUACUAUAGCUUGACACUGAACAUUGAGCCUUGAUGUGUAGGAUAGGUGGGAGGCUUUGAAGUGUGGACGCCAGUCUGCAUGGAGCCGACCUUGAAAUACCACCCUUUAAUGUUUGAUGUUCUAACGUGGACCCGUUACCCGGGUUGCGGACAGUGUCUGGUGGGUAGUUUGACUGGGGCGGUCUCCUCCUAAAGAGUAACGGAGGAGCACGAAGGUUGGCUAAUCCUGGUCGGACAUCAGGAGGUUAGUGCAAUGGCAUAAGCCAGCUUGACUGCGAGCGUGACGGCGCGAGCAGGUGCGAAAGCAGGUCAUAGUGAUCCGGUGGUUCUGAAUGGAAGGGCCAUCGCUCAACGGAUAAAAGGUACUCCGGGGAUAACAGGCUGAUACCGCCCAAGAGUUCAUAUCGACGGCGGUGUUUGGCACCUCGAUGUCGGCUCAUCACAUCCUGGGGCUGAAGUAGGUCCCAAGGGUAUGGCUGUUCGCCAUUUAAAGUGGUACGCGAGCUGGGUUUAGAACGUCGUGAGACAGUUCGGUCCCUAUCUGCCGUGGGCGCUGGAGAACUGAGGGGGGCUGCUCCUAGUACGAGAGGACCGGAGUGGACGCAUCACUGGUGUUCGGGUUGUCAUGCCAAUGGCACUGCCCGGUAGCUAAAUGCGGAAGAGAUAAGUGCUGAAAGCAUCUAAGCACGAAACUUGCCCCGAGAUGAGUUCUCCCUGAGACUUAGAGUCUCCUGAAGGAACGUUGAAGACGACGACGUUGAUAGGCCGGGUGUGUAAGCGCAGCGAUGCGUUGAGCUAACCGGUACUAAUGAACCGUGAGGCUUAACCUU